GGAAAGGGAAGGGCGCUCGCGAGCGCUACCUGACGGCGGCCGCGGGCGCCAUCUUGGAAAGGGGCAGAUCCUCGCACCUGAGGGCGGGUGGGGCCGGUUUGGGCUCGGGCUCCGCCCUCCCUCCUCCGUCUCUGUCCCGGCGGCGACGGGGCGGUGUGAGACAGCGCAAGGUCAUCAGGUGCAAGUGAUAAGCUUGACGAGGUGAGACAGGCAGUGUGGGGAGGAGGAGCACCUGAUUCAGGAACGGUCAGCAGUUUCCACACCAAGAAAUUCCACUGUGCUACCUGAGUAUUCUGCAGAUACAAGAUGAGAUAAAGAAGUGAAGAAAAACAACAUACAGAGAGCCAAUCUGUCAUGUUAUAAACCCUUCUGAUACAAAUUUACUUCCAGACUACUGGACUGAGAUGAUGGCUUGCAAGCCCUAAGUCAGGAAAAGGGAAGGAAGCUGCUGGAAGAGAGAAGAAGUUGGCAUACCUUCCCUUUGUUGAAGUAAUGGAUAAUCUUACGGCACAGACCUUCCUUACGUUGCCACUCUGACUGAGAUGGGUAAUGCAGGAACUCUCUCAGAGGUCUGUCCUCCCACUGAAGCAACUCACAGUACAAAAGCAAAGUGAAUGCAGCCUCUGUAGGAAAGGCAGUUAUGGAACACUGAAUCAAUGACAGCAGAUAAACACAGCCAAUAUUAAAGGUCACAGACCUGGCUUCUGACACAGUCUGACUUAUAGUUUGUGAAAAAAACCCUCAACUCUUAGGGGACCAUUAAAUUAUUCAAUAACUUAAAAUAGCAGCACAUGAUUUUUAGGUACAAAUCUGUCAGAUUUCUUUUUACCAGCUACUUGAUUUAAAUGUGCAGUCAGAUGUUCAGAUCUGUAUCUAGAUUUGGGGCCUGCAGCUGUAAACAGAGCUUGGACAACAGAGCAUUAGAGUCCAUACACGUUCCAAGUGCUCCCUCAGCACUGCAAGGCAAGGAAAUAUGACAAGUGAUAAUAUAAUGGUGCUUUUGCUAGUCUUCCUUUAAGUUUCAUUCCACUGUUGUGGUUUUUUUUAAUCCAUCUUCUUCAAAAAACUCUUUAAUGUAAAAUUUGAAGUGCAAUGCAAUAAUUGUUGUUGUGCAGGCAUAAACAGACAGUAUUUAAUUUGAGGAAAGGAGCUGGGCCUCAGCUUCUUCCCUUCCCAACUGCCAUAACUGAUUAAUGCAAAUUCUUUCCAAAAGAAUGACCCAGAUAUUAUAUAACAUGGGGAAAGUUAAAAAUGCCAUGAGGAGUUCAAGCAGACUCCAUGGAAUGUCUCUCUCACCUGUGUAGUUCUCAGCCUGCAGGUGCAUGUCACAAAGCUUGUGGAUAUAGCGGAUGUACAUCUCCUCCUUGUUAAUUUCAGAUUUGUAGAAAUUCUGGGAGAGAAAAAACAGAGUUGUUACUCUUGAGAUUCUCCAUUCAAGCACUCAGCAGCAUCUGUGGAUGUGAAAAGUUAUUGAAAAGAGAAUACAUUCUUAAUGGGAAAGAUAAGUAAUGAUUCUUUUCACACUCACACUGAUCUAACCCACUGAUUUUAUUGUGGCAUGAUUUUUUUUUCAAAAGGAAGGUAGUCAAAAGCUGAAAGAAGAGGUGAGAGAAGUUGUAGAACCUGUGUCACAGGGAUACACAGAACUCAGCUGGACACAGCCCUGAGGAGCCUGACCUAUCUGGCCCUGCUUAAAGCAGAGAGUUGGAUCAGAGGCCUCCAGAGGAUCCUCACAAUCCUCCUCAUUUUCUUCGGUCAUCCCAGUGCUUGGAUUCUGAAGCUACACUUGCCUGACACAGAUUCCUAUCCCAGCCUUUCCCAUCCCAGUUUCCACGAGAUUGCACAGUAUCACAAAGAGAUAAAGGAAACACCUUUACCAUUAGGUUAACAGUGCAGCCAAUCUUCUUGUUUUCUGUUUCAUCUCCUUUCAUACAGUCCCUAAGAAAGCAGAGCAAGGUUGAAACAAACAUCUGCAAAAACAGUCCUUUUAAAAUAAAUUUGAAGCUAUCUUAUCUUCCAGACUUUCCUUGGAUGACAAACAACAGAUAAUCAUAUACUUAAUUUUAUAGAGUUCCUCUAAGAAAAAUUUCCAUAUUAGGGCUUAGAUGAUGUGAGAAUUGAGUGACCCCUUACAAGUUUGCAUCUGUGAACAAGCUCCUGAAAUGACUGUUCCUUCAUUUCUUACAAGAAUCUGAACAAAAAUCAGAUACAGUGUCAAAAAUAGGCCGAAUGCAAGAUCUACUACAAAAGUAAAAACUCUUAUUUAUCCAGAUGUAAACAUAUAGUCCUGGUUGGCUUCCAUAAAUGCAGCUUGCAGCUCUGCAGUGUGGUGUGGCACACAAGGAUACAAGCUGAGGGAUUUAGACUAGAUUUCUAACUUUUGCAUAGGUAAGUUAAAUCACAAAAUUUAUCUUUGGUUUCUGGAAUAUUUUAGAAAUUAUUUCUAUUCAAACAGUACAAGAGACUAAAUUUUUAAAGCAGUGACACAGCAAGCCAUCUUGAGAACUAUGACAGCUACUGACUGGCAGCUGGACUCUAAGAAAUGUCUGUGUAUUUCUAAAUUCCAAUGCCACAUUCCAAUUCCCUGUUCUGGGAAUGACAAAUAAGCUGCAGAUUGAAAAUCAAUUGAAAACUGGAAUGUGCUUCUCAAUUAAGCAUGGAAAUGUGUACCUGUGUGUCAAAGCUGCCUUCUGGCAGCUGUUUAUCAUUAAAAAGCAAAAAACAGAAACCAAAACCACACAACACCCCCCACCUUGCCCCCCAAAAAACCCCAAGCAGCUUCCCUACAUUCCCUUUAAACGUGUCUCCAGUACCUGGUUGUGCACAGUAGUUGUAGAGCAGUUGUUGCCAGGAAAAACACAGGAGAUUGGAUCAAGGUGGUAGGGAUAACAAAAAGAGCAAACUAAAAAGCACAGAAAAGGAUUUGGGACUGCAGAACACCCAGCCUAGUCAGAGGGUUUCACCUCUAAUGAGCAGCAGCAGAAGAAAAAACUAUUUAAACUCCUGUCAGUAGGCUAAAGAUAGAAAUAUCUGGGGCAGUUCUAUAUAGGUUCAAAUUGUCUAUUAUUAAAAAAAACCCCUCUGAGUGUGUGUGUAUAUAUAAAUCUAAAGUUAAAAUAUUGCCUUCUAACUAAGUCAAAGCUCAGCUGCAUUGACACAACAGUCCUGCAAACUUCAGUUUAAAACUAAAUGAAGGCUGCCUAAUUUAUAGUGAAAUCUUGCUCAUGAGCCACCAGCUGGUGUGUCAGAGUUUCUAGAUGGAAGUUCUCCAGCCCUCCAGACCCUGCAGGCCUGGAUGAGGCAUUCAGCACACCUUGGUUCAGUGAGGCUUUGGGGAUCACUCUUGCAUUAAAUCUAUUUUGCUGAAUUAGGUGAGAUAAUUUCAGUGACAGAAGGAAUUAAUGUUUUAGCAACCUGAAUAAACCUCAGUACAAAACUAUCAGGAACGAGCACACAAGAAUGAGAUGAGGAUCAGAACCCAGCAGUGAUGUGUUGGCUUGCAUGUAUGCAGCUUGAUAGCCAAUAAAAAUCUUCCCUGUGGGAAUCUGGUACCUUGUCUUGACAAACCUAUGCUUAGACCAUGUCCCUGCAGGUGCCAGAUACCUGUAGUCGAGCAGACGCUCCAUGAGCCGAGUGACGGACGUGACAAAAGAGAUUCCAGUCUCCCGCCAAGUCUCCUGCUCAAUCUUCUCCAGCAAACUGUUUGGAGAUGGAAAGGCAGCAGGUGAGACUUCCAGGGAAAUGGUACAGGGCAUGCAGACUGAUACAGACACCUUGGCUUCUCCCUCAUACAACAAUUUCCAGAAGAAGUAGCAUCUUACCUCGGAUAAGGCCCAAAGAGUUGGGUUCUACUCCAGGCAGCAUGAAGUAAAGACAAGGAAAUUACAGAAUUGACAGGAAAAGGAAAAAUAUCCUCACACUGCCAUUUAACAGAUAUGAAAAAGAGCAACACUCAUGGCAAUACUUGGUUCUCACAUUAUUACCUGCAGAUUAAAUACCACUACCAGCAGUCAGAAACUGAAAAGGAGUCCAAACCUACUGCAAAUAUUUCUUCUUUGCUCAUCCCUCCAUAAAUUUUCAUCGCUAAUCAGCAACCAACCAACCCUGAUUCACAUUGUAUUUAAACUGGAAAGAACAGCAAUCUGCUCUUGCCUAGCACAGACAGUACAGUGAGCACCCAUCUCACACAGUUGUGAAGGAAGAGAGAAGGCUGGAAUGAGAACAAUGAACAUUGUGUUUAAAAAGUGAAGAAAGAAAGCAAAUUUACAUGCCAGUUUCCCGAAACUGGAUUUCCAAUCAAAGAAUCUGCCACUUCUAGGAAAGAAAUUCUGUUGGGUGUCUCAUCCUCCAAAGAGGCAAACUCUUCAGUACUGGGAUGAUUUGCAGCUGAGGGAGCCAAUUCCCUUUACAGCAGUAUAGUUGAGACAGUAAAAGUCAGAGUCAACUGGAUUUUUCACACAGCACUUACUAAUGUGUGGAAUUUUUUCCACAAAUUUUAUGUUUCCUCAUAUUGUUCUCAGACAACUUGGUGGGAGAUAUAAACUAACUGGUUGCUGGAAGUCCAGGCUGUAUUUCUUGGUAAUGCAUCCAAUCACUACCACCUAAAAAUGAGUAAAAAGCUACAGUCCCUGAAUUUUUAAUAUUUCAGGUAAUGAAUGUCUUCAAAUGCAGCAAAGGCACACUAUUCCUCUUGCCAUGUGAAUAAAAAAAAGAAUAGAUAUUUCCUUUCCUUUAUCCCUGAAAUAGACUUUAUCUGCACACAUAAGUUCCAAAACUUCCCAAGGGUGAAUAUACACAAAUCCAAACUGAAUACAUUUCCAUACUUCCUGAGGAUAAGCACAUGGGAUGGGCAGGCUUAUCUAGCUUGAAAUGAAUGAAUGUGCAAUUGCAAAUUCAGAAACAGAAUUACUGAUUCCAGCAAGACAAAGGUUUAUGCCUCAAACAGCUGAUGUGCUAUUGGAGGCCAUGUUAAAUUGGAAUAUAUGGCUAAAAUUCUGCUAAUGAUCUCUCUGGCCCACUAGAGUAUUAAAAAAAUUUGAGUUAACUGCUCUGGACUGUCAAGAGUUCAAAAAAAUUUCUCCUGAAAUAAACUAGGAACACUCGAAAUUAAAUCUGGAGACAGAUCAGUAAUCAAAGGUAGUGAAGUGUAAAGUCAGACAUAAAAUCUUCAAGUUUAUCCUUCUAAGUGUGAAUUGUUGGUGUUAAAGGAAGUGUCACAAUGGACUCUGAGGGAAGCAACUGGCAACUGUUGAACCAACCAAAACAUAGCCUUCAAAAAUAGGAGGAAAUGCUGAGGAAAAUCUCCUCUGCUCUAAACAAGGCCUGACUCUGUAGAUAGUACAGUGUCUCUCUAAACACUUCUGAGAUCAGGAUCUCACUCACUGCUAUGGAAAGAGAAGGGCCCUGGCUCCUCCAGCAAAGGAAUUUUUGAUAGGAGAAUGACAACCUGUGCAGCCUUUUAUUAGAUGUCACAGAGAGAAGACAAAGAAGAAUUUAGGUCUCUGUAUUACUUCCAGCACUACUUUGCUGAGCCAUUCCAUGGAAGCCAGGAAGCCCCUUCCUGCCCUCCCCAAAGAUCUGUGGCUGCACACAUCAGUGCCUGACUAUUCCAGUGGCCCUGCACAACACGAGGAGCAUGAACUGGCAAAGCUUACAGCAGGCUGAAGAGUUCCCUGUAGUUCUCAUCACCUUUUCCUUCGGACACCAGGCUGUCCAGCUUAUCGAUCAACUCAGCCUCCACCUGCAGGAAGAGACCAAAUCCAUCACUCAGACUCUUCCAGUGAACCAGCACAUCAGCUGGACACUGCAGACAGAGAGAGCAAGGAAAGGACAGCUUGGGAAGUGGCCUCACCUGUUUGAAGUUGCCAUUCUUUCUCUGCUCCCAGUCCAUCAUGUCGUGGAAGAUUGGGAUCAUGAUAUUCCGGACUUCUGGUUGUGGAACAAGGGUAACACCCAGAAAGGGGCCAAUCAUUCCCGGAAUAAAGUGAAUCUUGUGCUCACCUGCACAACACAAAACAAUGACAAAAUCAAAAUAGCAGAGAAACUGGCAGAGCAGGGAUUCUUCAAAUCAUUAUGCCUUAAUGGAAGGUGUCUGAUUAAUAUCUGGGUGUAACUGAGCUCAGAGUAAAGCAUUAGAAGCUCCUUGACUUUUGGCUUCAUUUUGCCCAAAGUGUAAGUGGUAAGUGAAUAAAAUGCCUUUCCAUGCCAGAAGAAGUAUUGAAAAUAUUAUAACAACCAUAUUUGAUGGGAAAAUAGAGUAAUAUAUAAAAUCUUUAGCCUUUGUGGUACUCUUGGAACAUAUACUCAUUAUCAGAGAUGCAACAGUUCUUUUGGGCAUAACGAUAAAUUUUAGUUCAAUGACCUUUCCACAAGUCUGACAUAAGAACUAUAGUUUAGAUGGCUUUUAAAAUAUCUAUUAAACUUUAUUAUGAAUUAAUUUACCAAAUAAUUUUCCUGUCAGCAAUUUCGAAGUUAUCAGAAAGGCAGCAAUCUCACAUAACUAUCAACCUGAGAUACACUGAACCCUGCAACCUAAAGAUAAGAAUUUUAUCAUCCCAAAUUCAUCUCCCUGAUUUAUUCAGCUUCUCUAUAUGCACACAAAAUAUUUAAAAGCUGAAAGUCUGUCCAGAAAGGACUUCUCACUGCUUCUCCAUUUCAUUUGUUAAGGUAACAGAACAUUUUAAGGUAACAUUACAUUGCUCUUAUUGUGCAUAUUUGAGUGCCAUGCUAAACAAAAUAAUUUUAUAAAAAAGCUUGUCUUUAUUUAUAGGAUUAGUCUGCCUUUUAAACAGGCUGUUGCUGCAGAUACUCCUCUUCCCCACUGAAGCUGAGUAUGAGAUGUGAGAUGUGCCACUUCAGAAUGUCAGAGGUCUGUGCCCCUUACCAACCCCCGCUGUUCAUGGAGAGCCAUAAUUUAAACUGAUGUUCACAAAGGAGCAUGCAGCAAGUGGAGUGGUAAGGUUACAGCUUUCCCAAAAAAUAUUUCAUCUGCUGGAGACAUUUGUAACCCCCAAAAGGCUUGAAUUUCUCUUCUGGCAUAAAAUCAAUAUCCUUUGUAAGAAAGCUCAGGUGCAUACUGAACAUGUAGCAAAAUGCUACACAACAACUGACUUCACAUUCACAGGAUUAAAAAGCCCUGUUCCUCUGCCUGUGUUUUAUAUGUAACAAUUACAAUAUCCUUUAUGUCCAACAACAUCUAUCCCGGGACUGUAUUUGCUGUUAUAAAGAUAAUUCAGUGCCCUGUGGUCUUAAAUGUGUUUUUGCAACACUACACCAAUGAUUGUAAAAGUGAAAGGGAGGUCCCUGAACAGAGUGCCAGUGGAUAGGAAUGAUUAACAGGCAAGUGAUGGUGGAGGGAUUCCCCUCUGCUCUCCCAUCCUGAGGGAAUCACCCUACAAACAUCACAUCCUUUUGUACCUUCAGCUCAUCCUUGCUUUGGAAGUUGUCCAGUAAGUGCUGGAAAUGAGUGUCUGACAUCUGACGAAGCAAAGAUAAAAGGCAGGAGACAUAUUCUCCCUGUUGACCAAAUGAGAAACUCUUUCAUUCAGACAAUCUGAAAUUUCACAGAUACAAAGCUUAACCCGGGGGAAGGUAUAAAGGGAGGGGUCUGAAAUGGCCCCAAUGCCUAUGAGGGGACAGCUGACAUGCAGAGACUGAAAGUAAUGCAGGCUAACAGUUCCUGAGUUACUGUUAAUACAGGGAUACUGUAUUAUCCAGAAGGCUCCUCCACAGAUGCCCAUUUUAAAGAUCUUUUAAUCAAAAUCGUAGUCUAAACAAAAGUAAUUUAAAAUUAUUAAUACAGACAUUAACAAAUCCCCCUUCAUGCAUGCAGGUUUUGACAAUACCUUUUUCAGGUACUUAAUACACAGUGUCUGUCAGAGGUGUGACUGCAGCUCAUGCCAACAGACCAGCAGUUAUUUGAACUAAGUGACUCUGACCAGUAAAGCAGUGACAGCUUGGGAUCAGCCUGGGCUACAGAAGGUGUCUGGAAGCUUGUAAAUAUAUGGCUUAUUAGUGUUCACCAAGUUCUGUGCUGUCAAAGCUCCAGUACUGACAGAUCUGCAGCCAGUUUUCCUGAGCACAGUCUGGGUAAGCCUACAUGAGCAACAAUAACAUUUCUGUAAUUUUGCGAAGCAGAUGCACCCUAACCAGUUACCACAGCAUCCCAAAGUGUUUUCCAAAGAGGAGCUCCCCCAUUUUACAAAUCUGAAAGCAAAGCACAGAGAAGUUAAGCAAUCUGUCCAAGAGAACAAGCAAAGUGGUGCCAAAAACAUCAGGACUGGGUCUGUUGACUGCCAGUCCCUUGCACAACACUAUUUUUUUCUGCAACAGAGAAACUAAUUUGGAAAAUGAACAAAUCUAAGCCAUAUCUAAUAAGAAUCCAUAUAUCACUGUGCUGUGAAAUGUAAAUUGAGGAGCAAAUACAAGGGACUGUGCCUUCCAUUUUAUUGUUACUCUUAAAUGGCUCAAGCAUCUACCCAGAAGCUUUGACAUAGGUUUUUGCAAGAAACUUUCCAGGGCUGAACCUCACUAGGAAGAAAUAUGUGCUCUUCUGUGUGGGCUGGCAUGUGGGAAACAGCAGUAAGUCAAAUGGCAGCAGCAGAAGGCAACUGAGAUACUUCUGGACAUUUGCAAACUAGUCCUUUUUUCUUCUGUAUCAAAGCAUAUCCUGUUAACUGAGCUAACAAGGAAAGAUCCAACCUUCUCUCUUGUGUGAGAAGUGCACCUUAGUGCACAUCUGCCCCCAGCAGUGUUGCUGAGGUUUCAGCCAUUUGCUAAAAACAAGUCUAAAAAAAGGAUGUUCUGAACAGCAGCUUAACAUCCUACAUUGUGCAAAAGCUGCAUUAGAGACUCCGACAAACAAAAACAGGCUAAAAUAGAAAAGGGCAGAAAUCCAGGAAAGAAAAAGGCUGAACAUCAAAAUUCUAUUCUUUUUCUUCUCUUCCACCACAUGUGAAAAAAAAAUUUCUUCCCUGUGGCUAAGGCUGGCAGCCUGGGUAAAGUGGUGGCUUCUCCCACCAAGCUCAACAGCCCACUUGACUUAGCAUCUCUUAAUUUCUUUUGAAAAAGUAUGUUGUGUUUCAUGUAGAUGAAAUAAUCAGUGACCCUGGACAGGAGCUCUCCAGGGUGUUAAGUAAAGGGAUUUAACCACAGAGCACUGUCAUAUCCUCAGUUUUGGGGAUCACAGCCUGAUACUCAUGAUAGCCCUUGGUGAUACCACCUUAGGGGUGAAGCUCCAGGCAGCUGCCUAGUACCUCAAGUCUUAAGCAGUAACUCACAAUUACAGCUGCAAAGGCAAACAAGAAAAUAAUCUGGAAAUCCACUAAAGCUUCCUGAGCUCCACUGCUUCCUGCAGCCCUCACUGGUGCAGGGAGGAAGGAAUGGGUUUGUGGCUUAUUAAGGGAAAGAGACAAAGCCCUGGGCAUUCAUGCAGCAGAGAUGAUGAUGAGGUGCCAGUGGUGGUGAGGGACUGAACCAGAGGUUAGAGAAGCAGGAAAUAGAAACUGAUUGUUAGUUACUAACAGUGAUUUCUGCUGUGCACUGCGGGCAGCGCUGCCCUCUUACCGCCUCCUGAGACUGCGAUUUACUCAUGAUUGUGAGCAGAGUUUGUAACAGCACGUCCAGGAGGCUCUCCACCAUCAUCUCAACCUCCUCCACGACAUCUCCCUCCUACAGCAAGUGGUGAGCAAACAGUUAGGAACUGGAGAAAUGGAACUGGUAAAGACAGUUCUGCUGAGUGAGCCAUACCAGGCUCCCUGGGACAGAGAGCUCUGAAACAGGCUCACAGAAGUACAAUCAAAUUCCUCAUUGGUCCCAUCCUAUUGUUCUGUCAGUGUGUGUGUGUUACCUGGACAGUCUCUGAUGGAAACAUUCAGGGUCACAGCCAUAAAGGUUAGUCUAUAAUCAAAGGUCUAGAACACAACAGGAGCAGAUUAUGUUCAGGAACCUUUACUCCGCGGCAGUAUUAUUUUAGCUUAUUUCCACGAUGCCUUUCAUCUCAUUCCUUUCACACAGAACCUUGACUUGUAAUUGGAAAUACACAUUGGUAUGAAUUAUAUUUAGCACCACUAGCUUCCUACUUUAGUCAGGUGGGGAAACUUCACCACCCCCUCUUUGUGAGCAUUGCUUCACAUGAUCCAGUUACCAUUUGAGAUCAGAGUAUUAUGACCGUCAAAGCUGGGUGUUGAAACUCAGCAGCAAUUUCCAGAAGUAAGUGGGAAUUCAUUGAUUGGAUAAUUUUAGAGUAUUCUUUUAAUGUGAACCACAAAGUGCUAGUUACUGUCUCUUGAAGAACUACAAGUCCUUGAGCUGUGUAGAACUUUUAAACUCCACUGACAUCCAAGUUCUGGGACUGCAUGAAGAAAAUUAAACAGUGUCAAAGCUGGUGAGGGUGUAUGUGAUUCCCCCCUCCUAACAGCAAGCACACUGUGUUAUCAGGAUGCUCUGAGUCACACACAGAGCCAGACCCUCAUUUCAGAUGUUCUCCUGCUGACAGCACAAUCUUGUUUUUAACAGGUUCUUUGAAAAACCUGUAUUAACCUAUAAAAAUGUCUCACUCUUCAUUUUACUAAACCAGAAGUGCAAAUAAAAAAUUGAAAUCAUGUAGCAGAUUUACCAAAGAACUGGUCUUGAUUAUGGAGAAGAUACUACUGAGGAUCCCAGAGCAAAUAAGCAGCUCCUUCUGCUGUCGUAGGUGAAGGUGAAUGUGGUGAAGGACCACAGGCAGCAGGAUGCGCCGGGACUCUGAAUGAAGGAAAAUUGUUACAAAUGUAAGGAAAGCAAAUAUUUACAAACAAUUACAAUGGAUGGUUUCCACAAAAUUCUGUGGUGUUAUCAUUCUCACCUUGGACUGAGUACAAUAAUUUAAGUGCACUAACUUGAGGUUCUCACUACAGGAAAGAGAAAUGCAGUGGAGCUUUCUAUCUUCCACUUUACCUUCAUAAUUUCUUUCAUUCAGACCUUCAUGUAUGAAAUACACUCACAAUCUUCA